CCUCCGCCUCCCAGGUUCAAGCAAUUCUUGUGCCUCAACCUCCCAAGUAGCUGGGACUAUAGGCAUGCACCACUACACCCAGGAGGAAAUUUGGACUCAUAAAAAGAUACCAGGGCUGGAUGUGCACAGAGGAAGAACAUGUGAGGACACAGUGAGAAAGCAGCCCUCUGCAAGCCAAGGAGAGAGGCCUCAGGAGAAACCAAAUCUGCCAACACCUUGAUCUUGGCCUUCCAGCCUCCAGAAUUGUGAGAAAAUAAAUUUCUGUUGUGUCA
rnacentral:lncRNA from 1 species